rnacentral:rRNA from 1 species
AGAGUUUGAUCCUGGCUCAGGAUGAACGCUGGCGGCGUGCUUAACACAUGYWDGUCGAACGAACCUUCGGGUUAGUGGCGGACGGGUGAGUAACGCGUGAGAAUCUGCCCUCAGGAGGGGGAUAACGGUUGGAAACGACCGCUAAUACCCCAUAUGCCGAGAGGUGAAAUGAAUUUCGCAUGAGGAUGAGCUCGCGUCUGAUUAGUUAGUUGGUGGGGUAAUGGCCUACCAAGACAUCGAUCAGUAGCUGGUCUGAGAGGAUGAUCAGCCACACUGGGACUGAGACACGGCCCAGACUCCUACGGGAGGCAGCAGUGGGGAAUUUUCCGCAAUGGGCGAAAGCCUGACGGAGCAACGCCGCGUGAGGGAUGAAGGCCUCUGGGCUGUAAACCUCUUUUAUCAAGGAAGAWKAUCUGACGGUACUUGAUGAAUAAGCCACGGCUAAUUCCGUGCCAGCAGCCGCGGUAAUACGGGAGUGGCAAGCGUUAUCCGGAAUUAUUGGGCGUAAAGCGUCCGCAGGCGGUCUGUCAAGUCUGCUGUUAAAGCGUGGAGCUUAACUCCAUUUCGGCAGUGGAAACUGACAGACUAGAGUGUGGUAGGGGCAGAGGGAAUUCCCGGUGUAGCGGUGAAAUGCGUAGAUAUCGGGAAGAACACCCGUGGCGAAGGCGCUCUGCUGGGCCAUAACUGACGCUCAUGGACGAAAGCCAGGGAGCGAAAGGGAUUAGAUACCCCUGUAGUCCUGGCCGUAAACGAUGAACACUAGGUGUCGGGGGAAUCGACCCCCUCGGUGUCGUAGCCAACGCGUUAAGUGUUCCGCCUGGGGAGUACGCACGCAAGUGUAAAACUCAAAGGAAUUGACGGGGGCCCGCACAAGCGGUGGAGUAUGUGGUUUAAUUCGAUGCAACGCGAAGAACCUUACCAGGGUUUGACAUCCUGCGAAUCUCUUGGAAACGAGAGAGUGCCUUCGGGAACGCAGUGACAGGUGGUGCAUGGCUGUCGUCAACUCGUGUCGUGAGAUGUUGGGUUAAGUCCCGCAACGAGCGCAACCCACGUCGUUAGUUGCCAGCAUUUAGUUGGGCACUCUAGCGAGACCGCCGGUGAUAAACCGGAGGAAGGUGUGGAUGACGUCAAGUCAUCAUGCCCCUUACAUCCUGGGCUACACACGUACUACAAUGCUACGGACAAAGGGCAGCAAACUCGCGAGAGCUAGCAAAUCCCAUAAACCGUGGCUCAGUUCAGAUCGUAGGCUGCAACUCGCCUACGUGAAGGAGGAAUCGCUAGUAAUCGCAGGUCAGCAUACUGCGGUGAAUACGUUCCCGGGCCUUGUACACACCGCCCGUCACACCAUGGRRAUUGGCCACGCCCGAAGCCGUUACUCCAACCCUUGUGKGGAGACGUCGAAGGUGGGGCUGAUGACUGGGGUGAAGUCGUAACAAGGUAACC